rnacentral:rRNA from 1 species
GAAUUUUUCGCAAUGGGGGAAACCCUGACGAAGCAACGCCGCGUGGAGGAUGAAGGCCUUCGGGUCGUAAACUCCUGUCGACCGGGACGAAAGCAGUCUGACCUAAUACGUCGGGCUGUCGACUGUACCGGUGGAGGAAGCCACGGCUAACUCUGUGCCCGCAGCAGCCGUAAGACAGCGGUGGCAAGCGUUGUUCGGAAUUACUGGGCGUAAAGGGCGCGUAGGCGGCCUUGCAAGUCCCGUGUGAAAUCCCUCGGCUUAACUGAGGAAUGGCACGGGAAACUGCUCGGCUUGAGUUCGGGAGAGGGAAGCGGAAUUCCGGGUGUAGCGGUGAAAUGCGUAGAUAUCCGGAGGAACACCGGUGGCGAAGGCGGCUUCCUGGACCGACACUGACGCUGAGGCGCGAAAGCUAGGGGAGCAAACGGG